GGACCUGCCCCUGGCUGGUGAGCAGAACAGCGCUUUUACGCAGAGCACCUAUGGAUCACGGCCGGUGACGUGAGGAGGAAGGCACAGGAGUGAACACAACGCCAUCUCGAACUCAUUAGACCUGCACUCAAGGCCUUGGGCGGCCCUAGCUGUGCACUCCGAAGCCCGGGUCGCCGCAGAUGCUCCUAAACCCAGCAGGCUCAGGCACCGGCCCUACCCGGACCCCUGCGGCCCAGGCCCCGCCUCGGGCCCUCCCGCCCACUGCUCAGGCCCCGCCCCCCCAGGACUGGGGUGCGGCGGCCACAACGGACGCCAGGAGGCCCAGCUGACGCCUGAGGAGGCAGCGACUUACCGUGAUCACGGCGGGAAUGCUGACGGGAAAAGAGCUGACUGAGAAGGGGGAAGGCAUCGUCCCGGAAAGGCUCCGUCUCACGACCACCGUCAGGAGACAAGAGAGGCCGCUGGUGUCGAUCUCGCGAGAUCUCCACUUGUCGCGAGGCCCGUUUUAUUGGGCCCAGGGAGGAGCGGGCCCCUUCCGUCUCGCGAUAUCUGCCGCGCUCGGUACCAGGUUCACGUCUCGCGGUUGUCUAUGGCCUUAAAAUAAAUAAUGGAACUGCUA